CCUACGGGAGGCAGCAGUGGGGAAUUUUGGACAAUGGGCGCAAGCCUGAUCCAGCCAUGCCGCGUGCGGGAAGAAGGCCUUCGGGUUGUAAACCGCUUUCGGCCGGAACGAAAUCGCCCGGGUGAAUAUCCCGGGUGGAUGACGGUACCGGAAGAAGAAGCACCGGCUAACUACGUGCCAGCAGCCGCGGUAAUACGUAGGGUGCGAGCGUUAAUCGGAAUUACUGGGCGUAAAGCGUGCGCAGGCGGUCUCGUAAGACAGGUGUGAAAUCCCCGGGCUCAACCUGGGAACUGCGCUUGUGACUGCGAGGCUGGAGUGUAGCAGAGGGAGGUGGAAUUCCACGUGUAGCAGUGAAAUGCGUAGAGAUGUGGAGGAACACCGAUGGCGAAGGCAGCCUCCUGGGCCAGCACUGACGCUCAUGCACGAAGCGUGGGGAGCAAACAGGAUUAGAUACCCUGGUAGUCCACGCCCUAAACGAUGACGACUAGUUGUUGGGAUAGAAGUACCUUAGUAACGCAGCUAACGCGUGAAGUCGUCCGCCUGGGGAGUACGGUCGCAAGAUUAAAACUCAAAGGAAUUGACGG
rnacentral:rRNA from 1 species